rnacentral:rRNA from 1 species
GACGAACGCUGGCGGCGUGCCUAAUACAUGCAAGUUGAGCGCUGAAGGUUGGUACUUGUACCGACUGGAUGAGCAGCGAACGGGUGAGUAACGCGUGGGGAAUCUGCCUUUGAGCGGGGGACAACAUUUGGAAACGAAUGCUAAUACCGCAUAAAAACUUUAAACACAAGUUUUAAGUUUGAAAGAUGCAAUUGCAUCACUCAAAGAUGAUCCCGCGUUGUAUUAGCUAGUUGGUGAGGUAAAGGCUCACCAAGGCGAUGAUACAUAGCCGACCUGAGAGGGUGAUCGGCCACAUUGGGACUGAGACACGGCCCAAACCCCUACGGGGGGCAGCAGUAGGGAAUCUUCGGCAAUGGACGAAAGUCUGACCGAGCAACGCCGCGUGAGUGAAGAAGGUUUUCGGAUCGUAAAACUCUGUUGGUAGAGAAGAACGUUGGUGAGAGUGGAAAGCUCAUCAAGUGACGGUAACUACCCAGAAAGGGACGGCUAACUACGUG